rnacentral:rRNA from 1 species
UACGGGGGGGGCAAGCGUUGUUCGGAAUUACUGGGCGUAAAGGGCUCGUAGGCGGCCAACUAAGUCAGACGUGAAAUCCCUCGGCUUAACCGGGGAACUGCGUCUGAUACUGGAUGGCUUGAAUCCGGGAGAGGGAUGCGGAAUUCCAGGUGUAGCGGUGAAAUGCGUAGAUAUCUGGAGGAACUCCGGUGGCGAAGGCGGCCCGCUGGACCCCAUCUGACGCUGAGGCGCGAAAGCCAGGGGAGCGAACGGG